rnacentral:rRNA from 1 species
GUGACUCUUUUAAACGGCCGCGGUAUCCUAACCGUGCAAAGGUAGCAUAAUCACUUGUCCCCUAAAUAGGGACUAGAAUGAACGGCUAAAUGAGGACUACUCUGUCUCUCACGGGUAACCAAUGAAAUUAAUCUUCUAGUUCAAAAGCUAGAAUAUAUACAUAAGACGAGAAGACCCUGUGGAGCUUCAAAACCAGACCACUAAACAUGCUUCCUCGGAUUUUUAGUUGGGGCGACUUCGGAGUAUAGAAAAACCUCCAAAUAUAUUCUUGUUAAGGUUAACAUACCAAAAUAACUAUAUUAGACCCAGCAAUUUUACUCAAAUAUUGUCUGAUCAAUGAACCAAGUUACCCCAGGGAUAACAGCGCCAUCCCCUCCCAGAGUCCAUAUCGACAAGGGGGUUUACGACCUCGAUGUUGGAUCAGGACACCCCAAUGGUGCAGCCGCCAUUAAAGGUUCGUUUGUUCAACGAUUAAAGUCCUACGUGAUCU